rnacentral:rRNA from 1 species
AGACUCGGUAAGGCCAGAGACGCAAGCGUUAAUCAUCCUGAUCAGGCGUAAAGGGUUUGUAGGCAGCUUUAAUAUAAUUAAAGAUUGAAUCAUAUAGAGGUCAAGAGAAUUUCUAGAUUAGGGUUGAUAUCUGUAUAAACUAGAAAGAAUUCUAAUUAGCGAAGGCACUUUUCUAUCUAAUGAUUGACGCUGAUAAACGAAGGGGAGGAUCGACAAUAGGAUUAGAGACCCUGGCAUCCCUCUCUGUAAACGAUGAAUGGUAGUUGCUAGUAAUAAUAAUUAGUGACGAUGCUAACGCGUWAACCAUUCCGCCUUGUUAGUACUACUGCAAAGUUGAAAACAAAAAAAUUAGUCGGUUUCGGAGCAA